rnacentral:tRNA from 1 species
GGCGCCAUAGCCAAGCGGUAAGGCAUAGGUCUGCAAAACCUUGAUGCGCCGGUUCAAAUCCGGCUGGCGCCUCCA